GUUUUUAUGUCGUAAUUAUGGUGAUUAUGAUUGUUAUAUUUGUAAUUGAAGCUCUUUUAGGAAGUUUAUUAGCUUUUUGAUAUUGUUGAUAUUUUUUGUUUCGAACACUUCUGGAUUAUGUGCUCCGAUGUGUUCGGUGUUUCGCAUAAGUCGCAGAAUCUUUCAUCCUUUUUGUUCAUGAUGCUCAACCAGUAUGGUGAAAAAUCAUGGCCAGAUAUUAAUCUGUUCAGAGUUCUGACUUCGGAAUUGGAUAGCGGCAGGCUAUGGUAUUGCAGUGCGACAUAUAUAGCCUCCAACUCUGCUGACAUGCUGCAUACUGAGUUUUUCAACUUUAAGCUGAGACGAUAAUUGUGUGUUUGAUCAAAUAUACCUAUCCCACAUGUAUCUUCGACCUUUGAGGCGUCAGUGUAAACUUUUGUGCAGGUAUGAUAUUUGUUUAUGAGGAGUCCAAGUGUUCUUUGUUUAAGAACUCUGUCUGAUGUAGACUUCUUAUUGCUUGUCUCUUCGCCUAGAUCACUUUCUAUCAUUAUCGAUACUUUUUUCUCUACGUGCCACGUUUGAGAUGUUUGAGUAAUGAUUUCUUUAUAUUUUAGAAACAUUAAUUCUAGGUAUGUUGCCUUUUUCUCUGGCAGAUCGGCUUCAUUUAAGCCUUUCAGCUGAUUCCAUACUGGGGUAUUGUAUUGUGCAUGCCUAAUUAUCUCUCUAGUUGUUAUUAGUUCUCUCCUGUAUUCCAAGGGGUGUUGGCUUGCAAUUGCACAAAGUGUAUUGAUUGGUGUGGUUUUCGAGCAUCCAGUCACUUGUCUUAGGCAUGCAUUGUAAGCAAUAUCCAAGGUAUGUGCAUUUGUCUUAUGGGCGUUUGCAUACGUCGACGCCCCGUAGUCUAGGUAUCCGCGAAUAAUUGCAUUGCAUAUCAGUCCCAUAGUUUGAGGAUGCCCUCCAGUUCUGCUGCUGCUGAUAACUUUCAGCAUAUUUAAUCUGUCUACUGUAUUUCUUUUCACUUCUCGGAUAUGUGCUCCGAAUUUUA